GACGAACGCUGGCGGCGUGCCUAAUACAUGCAAGUAGAACGCUGAAGCGAGGAGCUUGCUCUUCUUGGAUGAGUUGCGAACGGGUGAGUAACGCGUAGGUAACCUGCCUUGUAGCGGGGGAUAACUAUUGGAAACGAUAGCUAAUACCGCAUAACAAUGGAUGACACAUGUCAUUUAUUUGAAAGGGGCAAUUGCUCCACUACAAGAUGGACCUGCGUUGUAUUAGCUAGUAGGUGAGGUAAUGGCUCACCUAGGCGACGAUACAUAGCCGACCUGAGAGGGUGAUCGGCCACACUGGGACUGAGACACGGCCCAGACUCCUACGGGAGGCAGCAGUAGGGAAUCUUCGGCAAUGGGGGCAACCCUGACCGAGCAACGCCGCGUGAGUGAAGAAGGUUUUCGGAUCGUAAAGCUCUGUUGUAAGUCAAGAACGGGUGUGAGAGUGGAAAGUUCACACUGUGACGGUAGCUUACCAGAAAGGGACGGCUGACUACGUG
rnacentral:rRNA from 1 species